CUGCUGUCUUUAGAUGCCCCACCCUGGCGCCUGGUCCAAUGCCUCCCAAGCUCGAGGGAGACGACGGACGGAGCAGACGCCCCCCGCCUGCUGCCUGCCCAGCGCGUGGCAGCGGAGCCGCCUUCCGCAGAGGCGGAGGGCCCACCAACGUGCGGGCCUCUGCUCGUCAGGGCCAGCGCCGCCGCGUUUCCUCUCUCCUCCCUGAGGCUGGGCCCUCAACGCACCAACGGCAAUUCACAGCAGCGUGCGCGCCAAUAAUAGAUGAGUCUCUGAUUUGCAACUUCCUGUGUGUGUAGGCUUCAGCUAUAGAGAAACCCUUCGGUCUUCCUUUCCAUCCGACUUACCCCUCCCUGUUGGAGAAGAAUCUGGUGGUGAUCUCAUUGGUGGAUGUGGGAGAAGUCACUGAGAAAGCUUACUUCAGCCUUGUCCUCUUUCUCUCUCCUUCUGGAGCCAUCUAUCCAAGGGCCCUGCCUUCAGGUCUAUCUAUCGUGUUGCAAACGUCCUGAUCAGGAGGGAGUUGUGCGUUGUCACACGUGCUCACGCCAGGAAGAGCAUGAGUGCAAGUAAAGAAGAGGAAAAAAGGAGAAAAUGAUCUAAUAUUCCAAAAUUAAGAAGAAAAAGAGGAGGAUCCAGCCAAGGAGACUGAGAAGGAGCAACCAGCAAGAUAGGAAGAAAACUAAGAAACAGUUGCAUUCUGGAAACCAAGUGAAGAAAGUUUCUUAAGGGAAAGGGAGUGAUCAAAUGCGUCAAAUGAUACCAAGAGGGCAAGUCAGAUGAACACUGAGAACUGUCCACCAUAUUUAGGACCAUGGAGGUCAAUCGGUGACCUCAAGAAGAACAAUUUUUAGACUCAUGAGGGAGAAAGUCUGGUUAGAUUUCAUUAAAAGAGAAAGGAAGAAGAAGUGAAAUCAAGGAGCAAAGACAACUCUUUUGCUCCAAAGAGGAACAAAGAAAUGGGGUAGUAGGUGGAAUGGAAAAUGGGUGAAGAGAAAUAUUUUUUAAGAUAAAAGAAGAAAUAAUAUGGGGGUAGGGCACAAAGGGGGAAGUGGUGUACCCACAGCAUGACUAACAAUAAUGUACAACUGAAAUCUCACAAGGUUGUAAUCUAUCAUAACAGUAAUAAAAAAAAAAAAAGAAAGAAAAAAAAGAAGAAAUAAUAUAUUUAUAUAUUCCUGAGAAUUAUUCCAUAGAGAGGGAAAAUUUGAUGAUGAGGAUGGGAGAAGGGAAUAUUGCUAGAGCAAUGUCCUUGAGUAGGCUACAGAGUAUAAGAUCUAAAGGUGAGGAAUACAAGACUGGUAAUGGAUCUAAGCUUUUACAUGGGCAGUAGAGUGGAAGGGUUUGGGGAGGUAAGGAGUGGGAGGAGCAAAGAAUAGAAUGGAAUGUACAGAGGCUGUGUGGAGUUUCCCUCAAUUUUUCAAACACUAUUCAUGUAAGAAUAAACACUUCACUGUAAAUGUGGUGUUUAGCAACUGAUUGCCUGAAGUAUAGAUUAUCCAAGAUUUUUCAUACCACGGCUUGCUAUAAUCUCCUAAGGAUUGGUGAGGAAAAGAAAUGGAGAUAAAACUCAAAAUCCAUGUCAAUUUGGACAUUGUAAGCAGAUCAUCAGAUUAAAGUUAGGUAAUGAUAAGAGGUUAUUUGUCAAAUACAUUUAAGAAUUUUCUGAGGACUUCACAUACUUAUGUUGCUCACAUUUUCCAUUGCCAUGACAUUUCCAAGUUUCAUGUUUGCGUUAUACGUCUAUGGAUGUGCAACUCAAAAUUAUAGUUUUAAAAAAGAACAAAUACAUUUGGUGGAAAUCUGGGAUCUUUGGCAUAGCUAAUAGAGAAGAGACUUCUAGUUAUUAAUUACAAUAAACAAACGUGUCCAUAAUGACAGAGUUUACAGCAAUGAGGCAUAUUUCUUCUUGCGAUAAUAAUUAAUUGGCUGAAGACUUGCUGGUCCAAUGGAA
rnacentral:lncRNA from 1 species